rnacentral:rRNA from 1 species
GAUGAACGCUGGCGGCGUGCUUAACACAUGCAAGUCGAACGAUGAAGCCCAGCUUGCUGGGUGGAUUAGUGGCGAACGGGUGAGUAACACGUGAGUAACCUGCCCUUAACUCUGGGAUAAGCCUGGGAAACUGGGUCUAAUACCGGAUAGGAGCGUCCACCGCAUGGUGGGUGUUGGAAAGAUUUAUCGGUUUUGGAUGGACUCGCGGCCUAUCAGCUUGUUGGUGAGGUAAUGGCUCACCAAGGCGACGACGGGUAGCCGGCCUGGGAGGGGGACCGGCCACACUGGGCCGGAGACACGGCCCAGACUCCUCCGGGGGGCAGCAGUGGGGAAUAUUGCACAAGGGGCGAAGGCAGGAUGCAGCGACGCCGCGUGGGGGAUGACGGCCUUCGGGUUGUAAACCUCUUUCAGUAGGGAAGAAGCGAAAGUGACGGUACCUGCAGAAGAAGCACCGGCUAACUACGU